rnacentral:misc_RNA from 1 species
GAAAUGCGAUAAGUAAUGUGAAUUGCAGAAUUCAGUGAAUCAUCGAAUCUUUGAGCGCACCUUGCGCUCCUUGGUAUUCCUUGGAGCAUGCCUGUUUGAGUAUCAUGAAAUCUUCAAAGUAAAUCUUUUGUUAACUCAAUUGGUUUCUACUUUGGUGUUGGAGGUCUUUGCAGCUUCACACCUGCUCCUCUUUGUUCAUUAGCUGGAUCUCAGUGUUAUGCUUGGUUCCACUCGGCGUGAUAAGUUAUCUAUCGCUGAGGACACUGUAAAAGGUGGCCAAGGUAAAUGCAGAUGAACCGCUUCUAAUAGUCCAUUGACUUGGACAAUACUUUUAUGAUCUGAUCUCAAAUCAGGUAGGACUACCCGCUGAACUUAAGC